ACGUUACCAAACUGUUGCCUCGGCGGGAACUCAUGCCCCGGGUGCGUCGCAGCCCCGGACCAAGGCGCCCGCCGGAGGACCAACCAAAACUCUUUUUGUAUACCCCCUCGCGGGUUUUUUAUAAUCUGAGCCUUCUCGGCGCCUCUCGUAGGCGUUUCGAAAAUGAAUCAAAACUUUCAACAACGGAUCUCUUGGUUCUGGCAUCGAUGAAGAACGCAGCGAAAUGCGAUAAGUAAUGUGAAUUGCAGAAUUCAGUGAAUCAUCGAAUCUUUGAACGCACAUUGCGCCCGCCAGUAUUCUGGCGGGCAUGCCUGUCCGAGCGUCAUUUCAACCCUCGAACCCCUCCGGGGGGUCGGCGUUGGGGAUCGGCCCUCCUCUUGCGGGGGCCGUCUCCGAAAUACAGUGGCGGUCUCGCCGCAGCCUCUCCUGCGCAGUAGUUUGCACACUCGCAUCGGGAGCGCGGCGCGUCCACAGCCGUUAAACACCCAACUUCUGAAAUGUUGACCUCGGAUCAGGUAGGAAUACCC
rnacentral:rRNA from 1 species